CACGCUCGAACUAUUAUGAUAACGCGAAGCGGAACAUUAGUUGACGAAGAAUCUUGCUUUGGUCGUUCAAAGUCUUAUUGAGAGAAGUCAGGUUUAACUACGAUCAAAAGAAAAUGAAGAAAUGCAAUGAAGUAUAUAUUACACAGUAAGCAAGAGUUAGCAUUGGGAGGGACGUACACUCUAAAUUUCCUGAAACUGAAUCAAGCGACUCAUGGGUAGCCGAUGCAUUAAAUAAUGCAG